rnacentral:misc_RNA from 1 species
GAUGAAGAACGCAGCGAAAUGCGAUAAGUAAUGUGAAUUGCAGAAUUCAGUGAAUCAUCGAAUCUUUGAACGCACCUUGCGCCCUUUGGCUAUUCCGAAGGGCAUGCCUGUUUGAGUAUCAUGAACACCUCAACUCUCAUGGUUUGCCAUGAUGAGCUUGGACUCUGGGGGUCUUGCUGGCCUAUGGUCAGCUCCUCUCAAAUAAAUCAGCUUGCCAGUGUUUGGUGGCAUCACAGGUGUGAUAACUAUCUACGCUUGUGGUUUUCCAUCAGGUAACCUUCAGUGAUGGAGGUUCGCUGGAGCUCAUAAAUGUCCCUCCUCAGCGAGGACAGCUUUUUGAACAUUUGAUCUCAAAUCAGGUAGGACUACCCGCUGAACUUAAGCAUAUCAUAAGCGGAGGA